GUGUGAUUCCAUUUAUAUAAAGCUGAAACGUAGGCAAAACGCAUCUGUAAUUUUAGCAGUCAAAAGAGUGGUUACCCUCGGAAGGGCGGUCCGUAACAGGAGAGAAGCCCAUGGCAUAUUCUGGAACGGGGUCUGGUAUGUUCUGCUCCUUUGCUUGAUGGGGGUGCUGGUUACAGGCUGUGUGCAUUCUAUGCCCAAUACUUAGGAUCUUGCCCAUGACGUCAGCUCACGAAAUCUAAAAGAUACAGAUACAUUUCUGAUCACUUUUCUACCGCCUUUUAUGACAGAAAUGUUAAACACUUCAAACCCGUAUUAAACAAACACGUUUGCAAAACUCCAGAUUCAUCCGUCCAAGCCUCGUGCGCUGAGACUGAGCUCGAAAAGGCGCCUGGCUGUUUUAGAGGCUCGUUGCAGUGGGGAGCACUUUUUACGAGAGACAGGGUUUUUUUAAUGAGACAGCAGGGGUGGAGGCCAGGGCUGAAGGGAGUGAGAACCCAGACGACUGAGACGAGAGACAACCCAGCUCCGAACCAGCCGCCCAGGGCUUCGCGUCCGGGGACACGGCUCUGGCCCCGGGAGGCAGGGAGUCUGCGCAGAAGCCAGAGAUGAAAGACGUGCUCAGAGCACCUCCGGAGCGUGAUGGGAGGAGCGACGUCCCAAGGAGGCUCCGGGACCGAGGCCAAAGCACGCUGGUAGAUGACGCGAAGCGACCGCGGGGUUACGGGGAGAGCGGGUGCACGCCCUGACCCAGAGCAGGAAAUAGUGGUUGGGUGUGGGCAGACCUGGGUACACAAGGAAGUGACCUCAGCCCCUCACGGAACAAGGGGAUGUGACCCUGGGUGUGCUCAGACCGGGGGCUGGACGAGCUCGCCUGGCUUACCCGGAAGCCUCUCUCUCUGCUGGGUGUGCCUCUCUAAACACGCACACGCGUCGGCUGUUCCAGCUGCUCCGUGUUAACCGGCGCUGAGCGCUGAGCAGGACUUCGGAGGCUUUCGCUUUCGACGGUCUGGCUGGCGCGCUCCGACGGCGGUCAUCUAGAGCCGGGUUCCUGAGCCCCCCAUCAUCAUCCCAGUCCUUCGCGUGAGGUUGGGGGAGGCAGUGAACCUGAGCUCCAAGAAUUACCAGGAUUUCUCAGACAAUCUGUCCCCCAGUGACUUCUACCAACAAAAGGAGGCAGAAAACUCAAAACGAAACCCCCCCAAACAGGUAACCCCCCCACCACGUGUAUGUACUCCACUGAGCGGAAUUACCCUCCUCACUGUUUGGCUUGGGCUCCCCCAAAUGCCUGGAAAUGGAGCGGCUGUGUCAGGGGCAGUGGAACACCCCCGAGAAGUGACCCGGGGCAGGGGGAGCAUCCGGGCAUCUCCCUGGUGGCCUGGUCUCGACCUGGCUGCUGCCCUCCGUCCCACCUCCGCCGCUGCCGCCCCUCCCUCCACCUCUUCUUCCCCCACAUGACACCUUCACGCUGACCCCUCACUAAAGAGUCCAGGCAGUGAGGUCCCGUGAGAAGAACCCUGACGCUUGUCCUGCAACGUACAGGCCAGCGGAGUCCAGAACUCCCCUCUCCCUGCACCGUCCAGACUGCGCCAAGAGGUCCUCGCUUUGGGGCAUCUCCUUUCCCCGUUCCGGCCUCAAGGCAGCCUUGCCAAGGGCAGGAGGAAGGUGUCGGCAGAUGAGCGCUCUCUGGGCUGCUGAGUAUCUGACAGCAGGUCGGAUGUUUUAUCGAGGAAGCCACAGCACGUUCUCCAGGGCAAUGAGCAUGGGUUUCCUGCGCUUGGGAGAAGUGCAGGUGCAACUUGGUCUGCGAGGCACAGCAGCCGAGGUAGGGACAGGGAGAGUGAAGGAAAACGGCUCCAAGCCGGGCUCCGACCACUCCCCGUGAGGUCUGCACGGACAGCUUUCCCGGUGUGCUUAAGUUCACGGCCGAGCUCCUGCAGGCGCACCCGGGACCCAGCCGCACCAAGCUGCCCAGGUGACCCCUGGAGCAGGUGGGUGCCCAACAGGGGGACCCUACGGGAAAUGGGCCAGAUGAGGUUUGAGCAGCUCCCUGGAAACAACCUCCUGAACACAAAUGACUACAGGGCGCUGCACAUGUUGGGGGGCAGGGGCGAAGAGGAAGACAAUGGCUAGUGUCAUUUCCACAAACGCAGGCGUCAGGAUGAAGCGUCCCCUCAAGGCCAUUUCUACAGGACUGUCUCCCUAAUACAAAACUGCAAGUCGACUAGACGUCAAUUACACAAAACGGACUGUCCCCCCCACACCAGUUCAACGUCAGCGCUACCAGCGUUUUAGAAGGGACCAGUCUUUGCGAUGGGGAGGCUGCCCUUGACACCCCACGUGCCUCUCAGCUGUGACAACCAACAGUGUCUCGGGACACCACCAAAUGUCCCCUGGGGGCAAAACUGCCCCUGCUCGAGAACCGGGCCUUACAGGAACACAUCACGGCAGACAGACAAGACCCCCGCCCUGGCCAAAGUGUAACCAUCCACGUCGGAAAGGGCUGAGAAAAGGCAGCCUGGCCAUCACUUCCUAGGGCAUUAACGCUGCUGGGGCUCCGCCAGGAGGCCACCCCUCUCGGAUCUGAGAUGCAGGAGGAGACCCAGGAGGGGACGAUGUCACCAGCAGACGUCCACUCUCCCAGAUACGGUCAACAUCGGGGCAGAAGACUCAGCCAAGCAAACGGAGCCCCAAGCCUCAGAGUCGCAAAGCCCACCGCCCAGCCACUCCCUAUCAGUUUUCUCUCUGCCACCAUGUACUUGGCUGAGCUUCUGGGAGAAGGAACGCACAGCUUAGUGCCUCAGAAUCUUGUUCAACGAACCACCCCAGCCCUUUCCUCUCCUCCUCUCGACAUCCUUAACCGAAAGGUGUCCUACGGUGCCAGACGCCCCAUGGAAAAAAUCAACCAAAGCUCAGGUCCUGCUCUCCAGGGCGUCGGGAACGUAGGCUACCCUGGCCGAGAGGCCUAGAAGAAUCUGCAGGCCAAGGCGAAGGUAGUGGGGUGAGAACGCCAGACACACGCGGGAGGGGCAGUGGGGGCAGAGCCCGGGGACCUCGCAGGGCAGCAGACACGCUUCCGGGCUUUCAGAAGGAAAGAUCCUGUGUAACCACAGACUUGCUUGAGCACAGA
rnacentral:lncRNA from 1 species